rnacentral:rRNA from 1 species
CCCCUUAUGACCUGGGCUACACACGUGCUACAAUGGAUAGUACAAAGGGUCGCGAAGCCGCGAGGUGGAGCUAAUCCCAUAAAACUAUUCUCAGUUCGGAUUGUAGGCUGCAACUCGCCUACAUGAAGCCGGAAUCGCUAGUAAUCGUGGAUCAGCAUGCCACGGUGAAUACGUUCCCGGGCCUUGUACACACCGCCCGUCACACCACGAGAGUUUGUAACACCCGAAGUCGGUAGGGUAACCUUUAUGGAGCCAGCCGCCGAAGGUGGGACAGAUAAUUGGGGUGAAGUCGUAACAAGGUAGCCGUAUCGGAAGGUGCGGCUGGAUCACCUCCUUU